UACGAAGGGGGCUAGCGUUGCUCGGAUUGACUGGGCGUAAAGGGCGCGUAGGCGGAUAGUACAGUCAGGCGUGAAAUUCCUGGGCUCAACCUGGGGGCUGCGUUUGAUACGUGUUGUCUGGAGUUCGGAAGAGGGUCGUGGAAUUCCCAGUGUAGAGGUGAAAUUCGUAGAUAUUCGCAAGAACACCAGUGGCGAAGGCGGCUCACUGGCCCGGUACUGACGCUGAGGUGCGAAAGCGUGGGGAGCAAACAGG
rnacentral:rRNA from 1 species